AUUGAACGCUGGCGGCAUGCCUAACACAUGCAAGUCGAACGGUAACAGGCGGAGCUUGCUCUGCGCUGACGAGUGGCGGACGGGUGAGUAACGCGUGGGAAUCUGCCCUAUAGUGGGGGACAACCCGGGGAAACUCGGGCUAAUACCGCAUAAGCUCUACGGAGGAAAGCGGGGGAUCUUCGGACCUCGCGCUAUAGGAUGAGCCCGCGUCCGAUUAGCUAGUUGGUGAGGUAAUGGCCCACCAAGGCGACGAUCGGUAGCUGGUCUGAGAGGACGAUCAGCCACACUGGGACUGAGACACGGCCCAGACUCCUACGGGAGGCAGCAGUGGGGAAUAUUGGACAAUGGGCGAAAGCCUGAUCCAGCAAUGCCGCGUGUGUGAAGAAGGCCUGCGGGUUGUAAAGCACUUUCAGUAGGGAAGAAAAGCCU
rnacentral:rRNA from 1 species